rnacentral:pre_miRNA from 1 species
ACAACAUUCGGACCGUCGGUCUACCGAGCAAUAUCACCCGCUCGGUGGAAGAUCUACCCUUUCGUCGU